rnacentral:rRNA from 1 species
ACGGGAGGCAGCAGUGGGGAAUAUUGCACAAUGGGGGAAACCCUGAUGCAGCGACGCCGCGUGGGUGAAGAAGUUUUUCGGAAUGUAAAGCCCUAUCAGCAGGGAAGAUAAUGACGGUACCUGACUAAGAAGCCCCGGCUAACUACGUGCCAGCAGCCGCGGUAAUACGUAUGGAGCAAGCGUUAUCCGGAUUUACUGGGUGUAAAGGGUGCGUAGGCGGCAUGGCAAGUCAGAUGUGAAAGACCGGGGCCCAACUCCGGGGCUGCAUUUGAAACUGCCAGGCUGGAGUACAGGAGAGGCAGGCGGAAUUCCUAGUGUAGCGGUGAAAUGCGUAGAUAUUAGGAGGAACACCAGUGGCGAAGGCGGCCUGCUGGACUGUUACUGACGCUGAGGCACGAAAGCGUGGGGAGCAAACAGGAUUAGAUACCCUGGUA